rnacentral:rRNA from 1 species
GAUGAACGCUGGCGGCGUGCCUAAUACAUGCCAGUCGAGCGAACAGACGAGGAGCUUGCUCCUCUGACUUUAGCGGCGGACGGGUGAGUAACACGUGGAUAACCUACCUAUAAGACUGGGAUAACUUCGGGAAACCGGAGCUAAUACCGGAUAAUAUAUUGAACCGCAUGGUUCAAUAGUGAAAGACGGUUUUGCUUUCACUUAUAGAUGGAUCCGCGCCGCAUUAGCUAGUUGGUAAGGUAACGGCUUACCAAGGCAACGAUGCGUAGCCGACCUGAGAGGGUGAUCGGCCACACUGGAACUGAGACACGGUCCAGACUCCUACGGGAGGCAGCAGUAGGGAAUCUUCCGCAAUGGGCGAAAGCUUGACGGAGCAACGCCGCGUGAGUGAUGAAGGUCUUCGGAUCGUAAAACUCUGUUAUUAGGGAAGAACAAAUGUGUAAGUAACUAUGCACGUCUUGACGGUACCUAAUCAGAAAGCCACGGCUAACUACGUG